rnacentral:rRNA from 1 species
UACGAGGGGGGCGAGCGUUGUUCGGAAUUACUGGGCGUAAAGAGUGUGUAGGCGGUGCUCUAAGUUCGGUGUGAAAUCUCCCGGCUUAACUGGGAGGGUGCGCCGGAAACUGGAGUGCUCGAGCGUGGGAGAGGAAAGCGGAAUUCCUGGUGUAGCGGUGAAAUGCGUAGAGAUCGUAAGGAAGACCAGUGGCGAAGGCGGGUCUCUGGACAGUUCCUGACACUGAGGCACGAAGGCCAGGGGAGCAAACGGG